CGUAUGUGGUAAUGUGUAUAUAUAUCGGAAGCAAUAAUAGCGAUGAAAAGUGUAACACUAAACUGAGUCAUGAGACUUCCAACUUGUGGGUGUAUACUGUUUGUUAGCGCCAUUAUCACACCGAAAGUGUAUCCCAGAGAAUAUAGUGCACUUCACGGUUCUCACAGAACACUUCACUUUUGAAUUUUUUUUUGAUUUUUAUAAUUGAAUAAUCAAAAGUCACAUGCCAAGAAUAUUGGUUAUAACCUGAAGACAUUUCGUAGUGCGGAGUAAUGAACAUUGUUCUGGGAAAAAAUACGUCGAAAAGUGCACAAAUCAAUAUCUACAAGCUUUUCGCGAUUUGUUUUGUUUAGUGAAAGAAUAGCUGUUUUUGGUUUAGCAACUAACAAUCUUCGAAGUUUAUAUAAUUUGGAAAUUUCAAUUACGUACGGUAUUUGCCAAUGUUAGUGUUCUGGUGAAAUCAGAAAACAAAUGUAGGUAAACUCAUCGUAAGGCGGGAUGAAGAAGAGUUUCUCCUUCACGAUCGACUGAUUUGAAUUGUGUGUUAUGGAGGCAAGAAAGAUGUUUCUAUAUUUGUGGAAGCUGGAAAUAUCAAGGGUCUUCGAAAAGAAUAGCAACAAUUAUUAAAUUGAGAAGCAUAAGUAGAAGAAAAUAAUCAUCAUCAAUUUCAAGUAGACGAGUCCUUGGAACAUAUGAAAUAGUGAUACAGGAUUGGAGCAGGUAGAUGUAAGUGUGGUUACAUAAUCAACAAAUUGACAACACAUUGUUUUUGUUACGUGAAAACCGAUAUCAUCAGAUUAAGUGAAAUAGUGUAGAAUUCUAUAGGCCGUUAAUCGUGAAUCAGUUUUAAUAUAGUUUUAAGUGUAAUGAUGAAAAAAUCGAGUUCAGAGCAACAGUAUCGUUGGAAUUAUGAUUAAACCACAAGAAUCCAGCUAGAGUUUUAGGAUAAGUUCCUGUUCCUGAAACGCUUAUGAGGGUUGAACCUUUUUUAAAAUGCCAUUUAAAAAGAUUCAAAGAAGAGUUAGUGGACCGGGAGCCUACUGCAAUAAUUAUCUGCAAAACAGCCAGGAAAACUCGGAGUUUCUACAACUUUAUCAAAAUCAGCUGCAUCAGUCUUCAGUGAACGUUGGAUACAGUAACAUAGUUUACGGUAGUAACACUAGUGCCCAACAAGGUACAGCAAAAUGUGGCUCAGCGACAACAACACUAGCAGUUGCUGAAUCACACGAUGUGUACCCCUCUUCAAAUCAAUCUGCUGGCCUGAAAUUGCAGUUUCUUUCAACGCAGUGGAUGGAAUUGAUUCGCAUGAAAUACACUACAUCUUUACCACACAUGGUGUCGGAUGAAUGCUUCUAAACUGCAGAUUCGCGACGGAUAUGUCCUGGUGCGUUACGGGUAUCUUGGCUUCCUGUACAAAGUAGUAGUACCCGGAUGGCGAUUCAGUGUUAGCAUGGUGAGAUUAAUCCGAUUUAUCUUUUCUACGGGCGGACUUUUUGAGGAAGUUUUUUCUGUAUUGUUAUAACUGGGCAUACGCCAUAACGCAUGUGGAUCGCUUCACAUAGAUGAGUUACAACGUAAGAUCUGCGAUUCAUUUUUUAUGCAUUCCUGUGUAAAGUAAUAAUGUUUGACGCCUGUGUAAACAUUACCUUUAUUUUUUCUUCCAAUGAUAGCAACUUUAUCUCAAACAAGUACUCAAGUUUAUUCUAAAAUAUAAUCAUUGUUUAACAACCUCCACAUAUGUUUCUAAUUCUUACUCUUUCAGCGGUAAUAAGGUAAAUAAUAAUACAUAAUUUAAUAUUGCUUUAUAACAUCUUUUCAUACGCUUUUUCGCCACGGAAAGCAUCAUAUAAAACCCCAUCCAUCUUCCAACUCCAGAUAUCUAUGAAGUGGGCCAAGUUCUUGGACAUAUUCUGAGUAGAUAUCUAAUCAACAUUUCCUCCCCAUCCCCGCUGAUCGUAAGGACCUGGCCAGGUGUCGAACAAAGAGGUCGUUCAAUGAAAAGUCUGUCAAGCCCCAGGCAGUUUUUCUGGCGCAUUAAACGUCUCUAUCGACAGCCACCCCAGGAUGUGUACGGUCGGCUAUGCUAUGCUAUGCUAAGCGCAACGAGAGCUCAUAGCCCAUACCACAACGGAUUUAAUCAAUGCCCUGAAAAGGACACUGUAAAACGCAUAAGCGUAAAGAGAGCCUAUAGCUAAUUGGAGGUAGCUUGUGACGUCAUGCGACUUUCAAUAUGACAUUGAAAGGCACGGCAUCGAAAGCAUCGUCAAUAUUCAUAAAUCACAAUUGCAAAAACUACGUUUGAGCGAGUACUUUCUUGAAAACGUAUACAACUUUGUGUAAAAGAGUCACUGUGGACAUCCCAAAUUGGGAGGCAUGUGAGUUCACAUGAAUAGCCAUGUCAGCCAGACGAACAUCACAGAUGUGAUAAUCGACAAUGCGUUUCAAGCAUUUCAGAAAGAACGAGGUAACCAGGAACUCAUUCCUUCAUUAUACAAUGCACGCACCCUUUCGGGAUAAAACUAUGGAGUAAUUUCAUACCAUGAAAAUAUCCCAUAGAAAACUACAAGAGUUCAAAACAUGUUUAAAAUGCUCAAAUCCCUCUGAAGAAAAAUAGGACAAAACACCAUUUGCUCCUGGAGAUUUGAAGUAAGCAGAGCGUUUUAGUGCCCACUAAGUCAAUUAUAUAGCUAUAAUUCUCUGGCGGAAGCUAAAGAUCCGUAACUAUACAAAAGACUGGUUUAUCCGAAGAUAUUUUGAACUUGAACAGAUCAGAGUUCCAUUCAGGAAUACCUCUUGCGGUCCGCACAGACCGCAGAGGACAAGCUUCUUUCAAAGUAAUAGUUAUGGUAUACCACAAUGGAGGG